CCUACGGGAGGCAGCAGUGGGGAAUAUUGGACAAUGGGCGAAAGCCUGAUCCAGCCAUGCCGCGUGAGUGAAGAAGGCCUUAGGGUUGUAAAACUCUUUCGACAGGGAAGAUAAUGACGGUACCUGUAUAAGAAGCUCCGGCUAACUCCGUGCCAGCAGCCGCGGUAAUACGGAGGGGGCAAGCGUUGCUCGGAAUUACUGGGCGUAAAGCGAGCGUAGGCGGUUAGUCAAGUUGGUGGUGAAAGCCCGGAGCUCAACUCCGGAACUGCCAUCAAAACUGACUUACUUGAGAUUGGUAGAGGAAAAUGGAAUUCCUAGUGUAGAGGUGAAAUUCGUAGAUAUUGGGAAGAACAUCGGUGGCGAAGGCGAUUUUCUGGGCCAUAUCUGACGCUGAGGUUCGAAAGCGUGGGUAGCAAACAGGAUUAGAUACCCUAGUAGUC
rnacentral:rRNA from 1 species